rnacentral:rRNA from 1 species
GACGAACGCUGGCGGCGCGCCUAACACAUGCAAGUCGAACGGUUCUGAUUGCGAGACUAAGCUAAUUGGUGGUUCAUAUUGGCUUGGUCUUGUAAUCAGGAUAGUGGCGGACGGGUGAGUAACACGUGAGCAACCUGCCUAACGGAAUGGGAUAGCGUUUGGAAACGAACGGUAAUACCGUAUAACAUAUGCAGUGCGCAUGCACAGCAUAUCAAAGGAGCAAUCCGCCGUUAGAUGGGCUCGCGGCCAAUUAGGUAGUUGGUGGGGUAACGGCCCACCAAGCCGACGAUUGGUAGCCGGACUGAGAGGUUGAUCGGCCACAUUGGGACUGAGACACGGCCCAGACUCCUACGGGAGGCAGCAGUGGGGGAUAUUGCACAAUGGAGGAAACUCUGAUGCAGCGACGCCGCGUGAGGGAAGACGGUCUUCGGAUUGUAAACCUCUGUCUUAGGGGAAGAGUAAAAGACGGUACCCUAGGAGGAAGCCACGGCUAACUACGUGCCAGCAGCCGCAGUAAAAC